rnacentral:rRNA from 1 species
CGUGGGUAACCUGCCCAAGAGAUCGGGAUAACACCUGGAAACAGAUGCUAAUACCGGAUAACAACAGAUGAUGCCUAUCAACUGUUUAAAAGAUGGUUCUGCUAUCACUCUUGGAUGGACCUGCGGUGCAUUAGCUAGUUGGUAGGGUAACGGCCUGCCAAGGCGAUAAUGCAUAGCCGAGUUGAGAGACUGAUCGGCCACAUUGGGGCUGAGACACGGCCCAAACUCCUACGGGAGGCAGCAGGA